GGUUCCUUUAAUUUAGCCCAGUGAGGCUAAGAAGGAGGAAAAUUGAUUAAAAGAUAUAUAGUUAAGGUAAAUAAGGCGGGUAUAUCCAUGAAAGUGGGUAUACCCGCCUUUUUU
rfam:Dictyoglomus turgidum DSM 6724, complete genome.